UACGUAGGGGGCAAGCGUUGUCCGGAUUUAUUGGGCGUAAAGAGCGUGUAGGCGGUCUGGUAGGUCCGUUGUGAAAACUCGAGGCUCAACCUCGAGACGCCGAUGGAAACCAUCAGACUAGAGUCCGGAAGAGGAGAGUGGAAUUCCUGGUGUAGCGGUGAAAUGCGCAGAUAUCAGGAAGAACACCCGUGGCUAAGGCGGCUCUCUAGUACGGUACUGACGCUGAGACGCGAAAGCGUGGGGGAGCGAACAGG
rnacentral:rRNA from 1 species